UUAAGUGCAUGUGGUGGAUGCCUUGGCAGUCAGAGGCGAUGAAAGACGUGAUAGCCUGCGAAAAGCUCCGGGGAGGCGGCAAAUAUCCUUUGAUCCGGAGAUGUCUGAAUGGGGGAACCCACCUACUUUAAGGUAGGUAUUGCAACAUGAAUACAUAGUGUUGCAAGGCGAACGAGGGGAAGUGAAACAUCUCAGUACCCUUAGGAAAAGAAAUCAAUUGAGAUUCCCUCAGUAGCGGCGAGCGAACGGGGAUCAGCCCAUUAAGUUAUGUGUGUUUUAGUGGAACGCUCUGGGAAGUGCGAACGUAGAGGGUGAUAUUCCCGUACACGAAAGGGCACACAUAAUGAUGACGAGUAGGGCGAGGCACGUGAAACCUUGUCUGAAUAUGGGGGGACCAUCCUCCAAGGCUAAAUACUCCUGACUGACCGAUAGUGAACCAGUACCGUGAGGGAAAGGCGAAAAGAACCCCUGUGAGGGGAGUGAAAUAGAUCCUGAAACCGCAUGCAUACAAGCAGUGGGAGCACCUUCGUGGUGUGACUGCGUACCUUUUGUAUAAUGGGUCAGCGACUUAUAUUCAGUAGCGAGGUUAACCGUAUAGGGGAGCCGUAGAGAAAUCGAGUCUUAAUAGGGCGUUUAGUUGCUGGGUAUAGACCCGAAACCAGGCGAUCUAUCCAUGAGCAGGUUGAAGGUUGGGUAACACUAACUGGAGGACCGAACCCACUGUCGUUGAAAAGCCAGGGGAUGACUUGUGGAUAGGGGUGAAAGGCUAAUCAAGCCUGGUGAUAGCUGGUUCUCCCCGAAAGCUAUUUAGGUAGCGCCUCGGACGAAUACCAUAGGGGGUAGAGCACUGUUUCGGCUAGGGGGUCAUCCCGACUUACCAAACCGAUGCAAACUCCGAAUACCUAUGAGUACUAUCCGGGAGACAGACUGCGGGUGCUAACGUCCGUAGUCAAGAGGAAAACAAUCCAGACCGCCAGCUAAGGCCCCAAAAUCAUAGUUAAGUGGGAAACGAUGUGGGAAGGCAUAGACAGCUAGGAGGUUGGCUUAGAAGCAGCCACCCUUUAAAGAAAGCGUAAUAGCUCACUAGUCGAGUCGGCCUGCGCGGAAGAUGUAACGGGGCUAAAACUAUGUGCCGAAGCUGCGGAUGUAUACUUUGUAUACGUGGUAGGGGAGCGUUCUGUAAGCCGAUGAAGGUGUGUUGAGAAGCAUGCUGGAGGUAUCAGAAGUGCGAAUGCUGACGUGAGUAACGACAAAACGGGUGAAAAACCCGUUCGCCGAAAGACCAAGGGUUCCAGUCCAACGUUAAUCGGGGCUGGGUGAGUCGACCCCUAAGGCGAGGCCGAAAGGCGUAGUCGAUGGGAAAAUGGUUAAUAUUCCAUUACUUCUGUGUAAUGCGAUGAGAGGACGGAGAAGGCUAAAUCAGCCUGGCGUUGGUUGUCCAGGUGAAAGGAUGUAGGCAUGUAUCUUAGGCAAAUCCGGGGUACUCUAUGCUGAGAUCUGAUAGCAAGCUGUACUUGUACAGCGAAGUGGUUGAUGCCAUGCUUCCAGGAAAAGUCUCUAAGCUUCAGUUACACAGGAAUCGUACCCGAAACCGACACAGGUGGUCAGGUCGAGUAGACCAAGGCGCUUGAGAGAACUCUGCUGAAGGAACUAGGCAAAAUGGUACCGUAACUUCGGGAGAAGGUACGCUGUUGUUGGUGAUGGAACUCGCUUCCUGAGCUGACGACAGCCGCAGAAACCAGGCCGCUGCAACUGUUUAUUAAAAACAUAGCACUCUGCAAACACGAAAGUGGACGUAUAGGGUGUGAUGCCUGCCCGGUGCUGGAAGGUUAAUUGAUGGGGUUAGCGUAAGCGAAGCUCUUGAUCGAAGCCCCAGUAAACGGCGGCCGUAACUAUAACGGUCCUAAGGUAGCGAAAUUCCUUGUCGGGUAAGUUCCGACCUGCACGAAUGGCAUAAUGAUGGCGGCGCUGUCUCCAGCAGAGGCUCAGUGAAAUCGAAAUCGCUGUGAAGAUGCAGUGUACCCGCGGCUAGACGGAAAGACCCCGUGAACCUUUACUGCAGCUUGACACUGAACUUUGACCUUACUUGUGUAGGAUAGGUGGGAGGCUUUGAAGCUGGAACGCUAGUUCCAGUGGAGCCGUCCUUGAAAUACCACCCUGGUAAUGUUGAGGUUCUAACUCUGUCCCGUGAUCCGGGACGAGGACCGUGUCUGGUGGGUAGUUUGACUGGGGCGGUCUCCUCCUAAAGAGUAACGGAGGAGUACGAAGGUGCGCUCAGCGUGGUCGGAAAUCACGCGUAGAGUAUAAAGGCAAAAGCGCGCUUAACUGCGAGACCCACAAGUCGAGCAGGUACGAAAGUAGGUCUUAGUGAUCCGGUGGUUCUGUAUGGAAGGGCCAUCGCUCAACGGAUAAAAGGUACUCUGGGGAUAACAGGCUGAUACCGCCCAAGAGUUCAUAUCGACGGCGGUGUUUGGCACCUCGAUGUCGGCUCAUCUCAUCCUGGGGCUGAAGCAGGUCCCAAGGGUAUGGCUGUUCGCCAUUUAAAGAGGUACGCGAGCUGGGUUUAGAACGUCGUGAGACAGUUCGGUCCCUAUCUACCGUGGGCGCUGGAAAUUUGAGAGGAUCUGCUCCUAGUACGAGAGGACCAGAGUGGACGAACCUCUGGUGUACCGGUUGUGACGCCAGUCGCAUCGCCGGGUAGCUAUGUUCGGAAGGGAUAACCGCUGAAAGCAUCUAAGCGGGAAGCCUACCUCAAGAUAAGAUUUCCCUAGGACUUUAUGUCCUCUAAAGAGCCGUUCGAGACUAGGACGUUGAUAGGUUGGAUGUGGAAGCAUAGUGAUAUGUGAAGCUGACCAAUACUAAUUGCUCGUGAGGCUUGACUA
rnacentral:rRNA from 1 species